CGGACCGUGCGUCCGGCUUCCCUGGCUCCUGGUGAGAAAUGGAGCACCCAGAGAGACUCGAAUGAGCGUCACCCAGACCCCACGUCCAGUCAUAUUUCCAGAGAUAAUUUGACACGAGUCCGACUCAAUCAGCCUUUAUUUCUAUCAAAAAGACAUGAAGCAGGCCACGGGUCCCAUCAGGGGAGAAUAGUGAAGUCACAUCUAAUAGAGCCAAAGAAAACAUUUAACUAGGUUUGCUCCUGAACUUUGGGAGGGAAAAAAGAGAACGAGGGUACCAGGGACAUGUGUUUAUCAACGACAGUCCAACCUUGAGACUCAGAUUGACUUAGACUGCUACCUGAGGAUGAGUGGGCCUUUCGAAGGGAGGAGAAGAUGUGCCAGCUGGAGACACAAAGUUUAGCUGGAUUUUUUCCCUUCUGUCCUCUUCAUCACAACCUUCUCAUUAGCCCACAUACCCCUGGAGGCCUGUGGACUUAUGGAUGGCUCCCGAUUAUAGGAAGCAGGCCCUGAAGACAUCUACCUGGACUCUGCUGGGCCUGGCCUCCCCAUCCUCAUGUCCGGAGCCCGGGGCCAUGGGUGUAAAGCAGAAUCCAUCCGUCUUCCUACCACAAGACCUGUGAUGCCUCCCGGCCCCUCUGAUCUUGGUGGGUCCACUUCACUCCCCACGCCCCAUGAGAGAUGCUCACACGUCAUUCUUCAGGUCACGCAGGAUGAGCGAGAGCGUCCACUGGCAGGCACUGGAGACUCAGAGGUGGAUAGGCUAGUGCCUGCCCUCCCCGAAUUCCCCAGCUCAUGGAGGCGACACAAGGUGGUGGCAUGUCCUGUAGGCCAUGAGUGAACGUGCUGCUUUGUGCUCCAAGAAGCAAAAGUGACUGAUGCUCCCUGGAGGGAUGGGAAGGCCUCAGCAAUGACAUCAUCAUCAUCAUAAUCUUGAAAGCGGGAUGACAAAGCAAGCGUCUGAUCAGGAGAGGAGCGGUGAACAGAUCUUUCUGGAAAGGUGAUGGUUUGUCCUGCAGCAGGGAGCAACACUGGAAGCAUGGAGACCAGGUUGUUGGAGUUUUUUUAAUGUUAUCUGAGCCAACACAUUUGCUUUUAAGCUUAAGCCAGUCUGAUUUGGGUUCUGUCACUUGCAACCAAAGGACUCCCGACCCAUACAAAGCUACAUGGCUAAUGAGAGAAUGCUGGCUACAAGGGUGGCAUAGGGCGAGGACGAGAGUCCAGCUCUGUGCUCACACAUCACACAGAAAACCACAAACAGGUCCGUGUCUACAACCACUGGGGAAGAAACGAGAUGGAUGAGCUCGCCGUGUCUCACUACCUGUUACUGUGAAAACACAAUGAUUUCAUUUAUAUCUUUCGAGGGUUGAGUCAUACAGGACAGCCCUGGCUUGGCGCAUCAACUUAGUGUUCCUGCCAAGGGAGAUGGGUAAGGUGGGAAGGCUGAUUUAUUUGAGUACACUAUGUGUCAACAUCAUCCUGGAGAAGAAAAAAAAAAGAGUGCAGAAGAUAUGCUUUGCUGGCAUGAGCCAUUACCAAAGAGGUCUCUUUCUUGGCCUCAAGGAGCAAAAGCCAUAAGGUUAGAUGUUGCUUGAGUCUGGAGGUUGACUGAGCAUGGGCCCGUGGUGUGAUGGGCCUCGGGCCGUGGGAGAGGACAGUCCUUUCCCAAUGGCAUGGGCAAGGUCCGGGCGGGGGGGCACGUUAUAUGGGGUGGUCUGAGGCCUGACUCAUGAGAAGGAGCCAGGCACACGAAGAGCUUAGGUGAGUGGAGACAGCAAGUGCUAAGGUUUGAGGAAUAAGAAGGUCAAUGGGGCUGAAACGCAGCAAGGGAUCAGGGAGACAGGGCCACUGUACUCUCUAUCCCACCCACUUAGGGUACCGACCAUCUGGUAUUCUCAGGCAGUUCAUAUAUUUAAUCUCAUCUUUCUAUAAAUCCAUGUAUUCAUCCAUUCCACAAACAUUUAUUUCACCAGAUGACAGGUGGCACUAAGUCUUGAAGGAAGCGUUAGCCAAGCUGAUGGGCCAGACUUGAAAUCUAGACACUUAAAAGCUCAUCACUUAGGUGGGCCUGUUGGGAAGGGCCUUGAAUGCCGAGCGACCAUCCCAGUGCACACGCCACUGUGUUGAGAAAGCAGAACAGCUACAGGCGGAAUAGCAGGAAAUGUUGAUAUGUGAAAAAAAGAAUUAUUGCAAUUCAUGGUUCUGGGACAAAUCAGAUAUAGUCUUACAGUAUGAUCUAAUAUAGCCAAGUGGUAGCAGGGACCAAAGGCUUAAGAAAAGUGUGGGGAGAAACACUUAAAAUGGAGACUAUUCCAUCAAUUAACUUAAUUUUUUUUCUCCCAACCAUGAAAAGGCCAUCAUUAGUUACUAUUAGUGAGGGCCCGGCUUAGAGAGCACCUGUUUUCUGCUGAGCGUCGCUGGUGUGGGCCGGAGGGAGCUGUUUCAGGGCCUCAAUCAGGCAGUGACAUGAUGAGGUUUGCGCUCUGGAAAGGUCACCACGGCCGCAGCGUGGAAGGUGGAUGGAGGGGAAGAGAGGCUGGCUGUGGGAGACAGGAUAAGAACCAGCGUGCCAGCGGAGUCACUGGAGAUGGCAAAUUCCUGGAAGGCAAGGGUUUUGCUCUGUUUCACCCCUUUCAGCAGCACCCAGCGAGAGCUGGAUACAGCCACGGCUAGGUUGGUAGAAAUGCCCAUUGAACCAAAGUGUCUGGUAUUAUAAUGUGGUAUAAUGGAGGCGGUUGCCUCUGUCGUUAUUCUGCUUGGGAGAGGCGUCGUGGCUGAACACAGAGCUAGGGAGUUCUCUGAGGCUGGAGACACUCAAGGUCUCGGGGAGCUAUUUGGGGAGACAGAACAUAGAGCCCCUGUUUCCUAAAUCUGGCCAGGAUCUGCCUGUUGUGCCAGAUCUAUGCAAAUGAGAGAUAGUUAUCCGGUUUUUGCUGCUCAUCUUGAUAAAAGAAUGACCAUCAGUCUUUCAAGAAGCACUAAAAAGGUCAGUUAAAAGGUGUGCAUUUGAGACUGUUUAAACCCCUCUUCCAUGUGAGAGUAGCAUUGUAGACACAUCUGGAUUCCCAGACCGCAGAACAGGAAUCUUGAAAAUGUGCUUGGAGAGUACCCAGUUCCCAGCACGACGCCCUACCCUUUGGAGCUGCUCCCUUGCAGGGAGAGCAGAGCCUUUGUGUGUCAGCAAGACAGCUGCUGCAACAAACCACGUUGCCCGUUUGUGCGUCACUUACUAUAUGCUGGGCCCGAAUAAGGGUGUCGCCAGCCCUGUCUCAUCUCAACUUUUUCACCAAACGGUGUGAGUCUCACACUGCUGACCCAUAUUGUCUAACCAGUAACUUGUCAGCACUCGAAAACCUUCUCCUGUCCCUGCCGUAGUCUGGCUUCAGCCGGGAAAUUCCAUGUUUGUGGUUCCCUUCCUCACUGAUUAAGAUGACAGGAAGACAAUGAAACACUUGUCUCCAAAAGUGACUUCUUGGAUCCACUGGCAAAAUGUUAGAAAGUGGGUACGAACGAGGCCCAAGAAACAGGACACCCAGGCUCUUUGAGCUUGGGGAGUAUUACAGAAUCCUAUCCCAGGCCAAGAAUGAGUCACAAUGAAAGCUUUUAAAAUAUAAAACCAUCAAGCUAGAUUUCAAUUCCAAGGAAACACAUACUUGGCCAUGAGGGAAUGCUUAAAAAAAAAAAAAUUCAGGCUUAAGCCACUUGACAGGAAAAUAAAACAGCCAAGGAACAUUCAAAUAUAAUGAUUUACAUCCUCCCCCCCCCCUUCCAAUAUGGGUCAGGGCGUACACGGACACCAUCUCUGCCAGCGUGCCUGUCCAAUCCUGGGCUCUCUGCUUUUCACUUAACACUGUUUCACGCACACAAUCCCAUGCCUGGAUGCGGCUGGCUUAGAGCUGCACAGGACUGCCUUUGAGCUGCUCUGCCAAUCUCAUGGAUUCUUCAUGAUUUCCCUGCUCUUGGGCCCUUGGGUUGCUUGGGGUGGCUGUUUUGAGAAUACGAGGAUUUUUCUUCCAUUAUUUAUGUGUGCAAGCACUGUUCAUUUCUCUCAAAGAAAUGGAAGCCUGAUUGAUUUCCUAAAUGUAAGAACGAGAUUGUCCCGCAAUAAAUAUUUAAGACUGACCAGGAAGGGCGACUACCACCUGCUGAAAAACAGGCCCAGGAAUUACUUUGUUAAAAGCUUUUCCAGGGGCACCUGGGUGGCACAGCGGUUACGGCUCAGGGCAUGAUCCCAGCAUUGUGGGAUCGAGCCCCACAUCAGGCUCCUCCGCUGGGAGCCUG